rnacentral:miRNA from 1 species
CAAAGCGUUUGGAUUCUAAAAC